AGAGUUUGAUCCUGGCUCAGGACGAACGCUGGCGGCGUGCCUAACACAUGCAAGUCGAACGGAGAGAUACGAGAGCUUGCUCUUGUAAAUCUUAGUGGCAAACGGGUGAGUAACGCGUAAACAACCUGCCCAACGGAUGGGGACAACAGACGGAAACGACUGCUAAUACCCAAUAGACUCCGGUUUCGCAUGAAACCGACAGGAAAGGUGGCCUCUCGAAGAAGCUACCGCCGCAGGAGGGGUUUGCGUUUGAUUAGUUAGUUGGUGGGGUAACGGCCUACCAAGACGAUGAUCAAUAGCCGGUCUGAGAGGAUGAACGGCCACACUGGAACUGAGACACGGUCCAGACUCCUACGGGAGGCAGCAGUGGGGAAUCUUCCGCAAUGGACGAAAGUCUGACGGAGCAACGCCGCGUGAGUGAAGAAGGCCUUCGGGUUGUAAAGCUCUGUUAUUCGGGAAGAACGAUUCGUUUGUAAAUAAUGAACGGAAGUGACGGUACCGAAAGAGAAAGCCACGGCUAACUACGUGCCAGCAGCCGCGGUAAUACGUAGGUGGCAAGCGUUGUCCGGAAUUAUUGGGCGUAAAGAGCGCGUAGGCGGUAUGAUAAGUCUGUCUUAGAAGUGCGGGGCUUAACCCCGUGAGGGGACAGAGACUGUCAUACUAGAGUCUCGGAGAGGAAAGCGGAAUUCCUAGUGUAGCGGUGAAAUGCGUAGAGAUUAGGAAGAACACCGGUGGCGAAGGCGGCUUUCUGGACGAGCACUGACGCUGAGGCGCGAAAGCGUGGGGAGCGAACAGGAUUAGAUACCCUGGUAGUCCACGCCGUAAACGAUGGGUACUAGGUGUAGGAGGUAUCGACCCCUUCUGUGCCGGAGUUAACGCAAUAAGUACCCCGCCUGGGGAGUACGGUCGCAAGAUUAAAACUCAAAGGAAUUGACGGGGGCCCGCACAAGCGGUGGAGUAUGUGGUUUAAUUCGACGCAACGCGAAGAACCUUACCAGGUCUUGACAUUGAUCGCCAUCCGCAGAGACGCGGAGUUCUCCUUCGGGAGACGAGAAAACAGGUGGUGCACGGCUGUCGUCAGCUCGUGUCGUGAGAUGUUGGGUUAAGUCCCGCAACGAGCGCAACCC
rnacentral:rRNA from 1 species